rnacentral:rRNA from 1 species
GACGUAGGACGCGAGCGUUGUCCGGAUUUAUUGGGCGUAAAGAGCUCGUAGGCGGCUUGUCGCGUCGACCGUGAAAACCUGGGGCUCAACCCCAAGCCUGCGGUCGAUACGGGCAGGCUCGAGUUCGGUAGGGGAGACUGGAAUUCCUGGUGUAGCGGUGAAAUGCGCAGAUAUCCGGAGGAACACCGGUGGCGAAGGCGGCGAUCUGGCCCAACACUGACACUCAGACCCGAAAGUGCGGGGAUCAAACAGG